rnacentral:rRNA from 1 species
CCUACGGGAGGCAGCAGUGGGGAAUUGUUCGCAAUGGGCGCAAGCCUGACGACGCAACGCCGCGUGGAGGAUGAAGACCUUCGGGUCGUAAACUCCUUUCGACCAGGAUGAAUUCUCAUCGACCGAAUACGUCGAUGGGGUGACAGUACUGGGAGAAGAAGCCCCGGCUAACUCCGUGCCAGCAGCCGCGGUAAUACGGGGGGGGCAAGCGUUGUUCGGAAUUACUGGGCGUAAAGGGUUCGUAGGUGGCCCGCUAAGUCAGACGUGAAAUCCCUCAGCUCAACUGGGGAACUGCGUCUGAGACUGGAGGGCUUGAGUGCAGGAGAGGAACGCGGAAUUCCAGGUGUAGCGGUGAAAUGCGUAGAUAUCUGGAGGAACACCGGUGGCGAAGGCGGCGUUCUGGACUGCUACUGACACUGAGGAACGAAAGCCAGGGGAGC